rnacentral:rRNA from 1 species
UCGCCAGACUCCUACGGGAGGCAGCAGUGGGGAAUAUUGCACAAUGGGGGGAACCCUGAUGCAGCGACGCCGCGUGAGGGAAGAAGGUUUUUGGAUUGUAAACCUCUGUCCUUGGUAAAGAAGCAAGACGGUAGCCAAGGAGGAAGCCACGGCUAACUACGUGCCAGCAGCCGCGGUAAUACGUAGGUGGCGAGCGUUAUCCGGAAUGAUUGGGCGUAAAGGGUGCGCAGGCGGUCCUGCAAGUCUGGAGUGAAACGCAUGAGCUCAACUCAUGCAUGGCUUUGGAAACUGGAGGACUGGAGAGCAGGAGAGGGCGGUGGAACUCCAUGUGUAGCGGUAAAAUGCGUAGAUAUAUGGAAGAACACCAGUGGCGAAGGCGGCCGCCUGGCCUGUUGCUGACGCUGAGGCACGAAAGCGUGGGGAGCAAAUAGGAUUAGAUACCCGUGUAC